rnacentral:rRNA from 1 species
UAGGGAAUCUUCGGCAAUGGGGGCAACCCUGACCGAGCAACGCCGCGUGAGUGAAGGAGGUUUUCGGAUCGUAAAGCUCUGUUGUAAGUCAAGAACGAGUGUGAGAGUGGAAAGUUCACACUGUGACGGUAGCUUGCCAGAAAGGGACGGCUAACUACGUGCCAGCAGCCGCGGUAAUACGUAGGUCCCGAGCGUUGUCCGGAUUUAUUGGGCGUAAAGCGAGCGCAGGCGGUUUGAUAAGUCUGAAGUUAAAGGCUGUGGCUCAACCAUAGUUCGCUUUGGAAACUGUCAAACUUGAGUGCAGAAGGGGAGAGUGGAAUUCCAUGUGUAGCGGUGAAAUGCGUAGAUAUAUGGAGGAACACCGGUGGCGAAAGCGGCUCUCUGGUCUGUAACUGACGCUGAGGCUCGAAAGCGUGGGGAGCGAACAGGAUUAGAUACCCUGGUAGUCCACGCCGUANCGAUGAGUGCUAGGUGUUGGAUCCUUUCCGGGANUCAGUGNCGCANCUAACGCANUAANCACUCCGCCUGGGGAGUACNACCNCAAGGUU